UACAGAGGGGGCAAGCGUUGUUCGGAAUUACUGGGCGUAAAGGGCGCGUAGGCGGCCCGCUAAGUCGAACGUGAAAUCCCCGGGCUCAACCCGGGAACUGCGUCCGAUACUGGUGGGCUCGAAUCCGGGAGAGGGAUGCGGAAUUCCAGGUGUAGCGGUGAAAUGCGUAGAUAUCUGGAGGAACACCUGUGGCGAAGGCGGCUUUCUGGGCCUUACCUGACGCUGAGACGCGAAAGCGUGGGGAGCGAACCGG
rnacentral:rRNA from 1 species